GGGGUUGUGGCUCAGUGGUAGAGCUCUUACCUAGCAUGUAUGAAAUACUGGGUUCAAUGCUCAGCAUCACAU
rfam:Ictidomys tridecemlineatus contig013372, whole genome shotgun sequence.